rnacentral:rRNA from 1 species
AGGACGAACGCUGGCGGCGUGCUUAACACAUGCAAGUCGAGCGGAAAGGCCCUUCGGGGUACUCGAGCGGCGAACGGGUGAGUAACACGUGAGUAAUCUGCCCCUAGCUCUGGGAUAGCUCCGGGAAACCGGGAUUAAUACCGGAUAUGACCACUUUAGACAUCUGUUGUGGUGGAAAGAAUUUCGGCUAGGGAUGAGCUCGCGGCCUAUCAGCUUGUUGGUGGGGUAACGCCUACAAGGCGACG